CAAGGGGUGGCAACGCUCAUGCGCAGCCGGGCGGUGACGAGGUGUCGGUCGCAGCGUGGGCCGCCGCUCUCACGGAUCCGGUUCCGCCCUCCCUCCUGCUGCCGAUCCUUCCCGGCCGGCGCUCGAGAUCCUUUUCCCAGAGUGCUCUGCGCCGUGAAGAAGCGGCUCCCGGGGACUGGGGGCAUUUUGUGUUGGCUGGAGCGGGAGUAACAAGAUGGCGGCGGCGUCAGCGGAGUGACAGAGGUCCCUCCGGGCCGGAGCCGGCGGCAGUGGUGGCAACUGUAUCGCCGCCCUAACUCACCGCGCCCCUUUUCCAGCCCGCAACGUCGCCGCGAGGGCGAGGCAGCGGCGGCCGCCCAGAAACAAGUGGCCUGGCCUGGUGACCGCGAGAACGCCUCACAAACUGCGGCCUGGCGAAAAGAAACCCGACUGAGCGGUUGUGAUCAGUUUCCCCUUGACUGACUCUGGCACUAUAGCGCCGGGGAAGGCCUCCGUGUUCCGUCUCCUGCCGCGCUCCGCAGCCUUGCCCCGUGGACGAGCCCCAGAGGCCUCCAUCCUCCCCUCAGAGGUGUCGGGGCUCGGCCCCGGCCUCCAUCUUCGUCUCUCAGGAUGGCGAGCAGCAGCGGCUCCAAGGCCGAAUUCAUUGUCGGAGGGAAAUAUAAACUGGUACGGAAGAUCGGGUCUGGCUCCUUCGGGGACAUUUAUCUGGCGAUCAACAUCACCAACGGCGAGGAAGUGGCAGUGAAGCUAGAAUCUCAGAAGGCCAGGCAUCCCCAGUUGCUGUACGAGAGCAAACUCUAUAAGAUUCUUCAAGGUGGGGUUGGCAUCCCCCACAUACGGUGGUAUGGUCAGGAAAAAGACUACAAUGUACUAGUCAUGGAUCUUCUGGGACCCAGCCUCGAAGACCUCUUCAAUUUCUGUUCAAGAAGGUUCACAAUGAAAACUGUACUUAUGUUAGCUGACCAGAUGAUCAGUAGAAUCGAAUAUGUGCAUACAAAGAAUUUUAUACACAGAGACAUUAAACCAGAUAACUUCCUAAUGGGUAUUGGGCGUCAUUGUAAUAAGUGUUUAGAAUCUCCAGUGGGGAAGAGGAAAAGAAGCAUGACUGUUAGUACUUCUCAGGACCCAUCUUUCUCAGGAUUAAACCAGUUAUUCCUUAUUGAUUUUGGUUUGGCCAAAAAGUACAGAGACAACAGGACAAGGCAACACAUACCAUACAGAGAAGAUAAAAAUCUUACUGGCACAGCUCGAUAUGCUAGCAUCAAUGCACAUCUUGGUAUUGAGCAGAGUCGCCGAGAUGACAUGGAAUCAUUAGGAUAUGUUUUGAUGUAUUUUAAUAGAACCAGCCUGCCAUGGCAAGGACUAAAGGCUGCAACAAAGAAACAAAAAUAUGAAAAGAUUAGUGAAAAGAAGAUGUCCACUCCUGUUGAAGUUUUAUGUAAGGGGUUUCCUGCAGAAUUUGCCAUGUACUUAAACUAUUGUCGUGGACUGCGCUUUGAGGAAGCCCCGGAUUACAUGUAUCUGAGGCAGCUAUUCCGCAUUCUUUUCAGGACCCUGAACCACCAGUAUGACUACACAUUUGAUUGGACAAUGUUAAAGCAGAAAGCAGCACAGCAGGCAGCCUCUUCCAGUGGGCAGGGUCAGCAGGCCCAAACCCCCACAGGUCUUAAAGAUGAGAAGUUGGAUCCACAGAGUUAGUAUGUUUUCUUGAAAAAAAAAAUUGUAAUUAAACUUAAAUUUAAUCCUUAUUUUGUAUUGGAGCUAUUUUUCAUAACAGCAACUAAAAAUCUUAUAAAAUUUCAUAGCAUCAUUAGACACAGUGGUCAUACAGAUUAUUUCAUAAACAUGGACUUGUAACAUUCUGAAAAAUCAGGCUUUUUAUAACACACUGCAUAUAUCAUUGACUGUUUUCAGAGAUAUAUGUCCAGGCAAUAUAUUUUGACUCCAAGCAAAAUAUCACUUGCUAUUAAAAUGUGCCACUUAACAUAGUACAAACAAUAAUCCUUUUUGCCUUUUGACUUCUUGGAAACAUCUGUAUUAUUUUGGGUACAGAAAUUAUUGCUCCAAAUGAAUCUUUCACAAAACCCUUUCUAUAUAAAACUAUGAAAAUAUGACCCUGGUCUGAGGGUGGCAUGGAAUAAGCAUGAGGAGCCUAUUCCCCAACCUCUACCCCCAGCCCAGUAUCUGGGUCAUCCCUUAAGAAAUCUUAGCAAGUCUGGAGUUUGAAAGCAACUCCUCUAGGUUAUUCCUGAUUUCAGUCUCCAAGUAAUAAGGGUGUUUAAAAGCAUAGUAUCUUAGGGUCCACUGCAGUGGAUUCUUAAGGAAGAGCUCAUGCAGCUCAGUGAUAAAUUGAUCCCAAGAAAUCCUUUCAAUGAUGAUGAAAGCACCAUGUUACAUUUUUAUAGUUAGAAAUUUUAGAAAGUACUUUUUAUAAUGCAUUUUAUCAUUUGUUCUUCAUGAAGUUGUUCUUUUCAGAUCAAUAAAUUAGGUUUCACAAAUCUUCAGCAAGUAGAUCUCUUGCAGAAAUAGUCAUUUAUGGAAAAAUCCCCCAAAUGGUGGCAUUCACUAAUGUAUUUUAUAUGGUUAUUUUUGAAAAAAUCUGUAUCUAAGGUUUCUUUAUGGAAAAUUUUAAGUUGUUUUAGCAAUUCGCCAAGAAUGUCCAAAGAUUCCUUAAAGCGUGGCUUAUUUAGCUAAUGUGGGCUUAUUAUGUAAUUGGCAGACUUCUGUCUUGAUUACUUUUCUUUAGAUCUUUUAAAAUACUCCAUUCGAAAGCCUAUCCAAAAGACCAAGAAACAAGGCUUUUCUCCUGAUGCCCAUUAUGAUUUGUACUAGUUUUUUCAGUGCUCAAGUACCACAAAAUUAUGAUUGUUUUUAUUCAUAUUUGAGAGAAAAAUAUAUAAGAUCCACACCCGACACAUUUCCAAAUCCAUUUCAUUCGAUUUUCUUCCACUAUAUGUGAUUAUAAGAAAAGUAUUUUUCAAGAUACUUAAAAAGUAGCCAAAGAAAAGGAAGUAUUUUUAUGACAUUCAAAAUCCAGUUAAAUUCACCAUUUCUUUAGUUGAGGGCAGAGGUGGGGGAGAAUUUCAGAAAGUAGUGAAGCCAAAAGUGGAUCCUGAUACAGUUCUCUUCUGUAUUCUUAUAACAUCUUACUUAAUCUGUCUGUUCACUGCCCCAGCCACAAUGCUAAGCCAUAAUCUUAUCAUGAUGAUAAAGGUAGAUGUCAAAUUGUUGGCAUUUAAAGGAGAUUAGAAAUAUUUUCUGUCACGUUAACCUACCAUAUCCAUGGUCUUCCUUGAAUUACCUUCCAGUAUUUAUUUACUGGGCUUUACCUACCAUUUAUGUCUAGCUUAACUUUUUCUGACUUCACUAAUUGCUGCUAAGGAACACGUUGGUCACUCAGCAACAUAACCCAAAUCACAGGGGAAGAUCUUGAAAUAAUCUGGAGAGACUGAUCUGUUCUGAAUAUAUUCAAUCCAAAGAAGUACCAAAGAACGACAUCUGCUUGCUGAAAUCUUGGGUUUUUGUCAGCUUUUCUCACUGUGGACAGUAAAGCUGGAGAGAAAACUAAAUAACCCAACAAGAAAUGCACAUAAAAGCGCAAGAGUUGAUUUGUGCCCAUCUGGAGCCCACAUCUCCCAGGCUUGCUGGACUUAUUAAACAUUGUGACUUGUCAGAUUGUCUGGAUGAUACAGAUGAUACAGAAGGCCUAGAAGAAUACAGUGUUGCUGUGACUCAGUGGUGUUUAAUGCAGACCAUCUAACAGUUGGGGAAGGAGUCAUUUCUAACAGGAACAAAGGGAUCCAUCCCUCAUUUUAACUGAUGUUACAGUGAAGUUGGGUUUUUGAACUCUUGGACGGCAGAAGCCACUCAACUAGCAAGAUUAAAACCAAGGACUGAUGCACAUUGGAGAAAAGAAUGCUUAGUACUUGAAGAUUGAAGAAUGAAUACCUGCUGAAUGUUCCUUUUGAGGUUUUUCUUAAACAAACUUCAAUGACACUUUAGGACGAUUCACUGGAGUAACAUUGAUCCCUGGGUGGAGCAUCCUACCGUUGGCCCAUCUGAAAAGUUAAAUCUGGAUUUGACUGCUCUGUUCUACCUGGAAUAUUGUUAGGCUAGCUUUUAACUAGUUGCUAAACAGUUGUAAUUGUUAAUUGACCCAGAAAUCCCUCAAAUAUCAGAUUAAAAGAUGAACAGAUAAUUCUUAAUCUAGAUCUUCCCUUUUAUUAAAGACGCUAGUUUUCUAAUAGUUUGACAGUGUAACUUAUGUUUCCUUUUAAGUUUGUUAAUGAUGGUGGUGUUCCUUUUGAAGGCCAUUUGGUAUAUUCAUCUUAAUCUAAUUAUUCACUAUGAUGAGAUUACAUAAGCAAACAAUGAUAAAAGAAAAACCAGUGAUUUUAGUAGUUAAGAAAACACAUUUCUUUUUGUCAUGUUAAAGAAUGAUUGUAGGAGUUGAAACCAAAUCCUGAUGGGGUAAGGGUCAUUUCUGUUUAGCUAAUCCGUAGUUUCUUAACCUGCAUAGCUUCUUAUCCUGUAUUACAACAUUGGAAUUAGGUCACAAUACAGUCAGAUUUUUAAAUUUAA